rnacentral:lncRNA from 1 species
UGCUUUUCUUCUUCACCUUCAAUUCUCAAUUAUUUGUUACAAACUUUCUCAGCUCUUUCUUGUUUUCUAGCCUGCAUCUUCCAUUUUCGUGUAAAUUUUAUUUUCUUGUUUAUCAAGACUCAUUGCCACAACAAACCUUGUUACUGUGUUAGUGCCACAACAACAAAACAAAAGAAUUUUCAGUAUCAUUUUCUGCUCUAAUGAUGGUGACAAUAUGAGCUACUUUGAUGAUUCAGCUCAGAGUAUGUAUUCUCAGUUUCCCAACAACAACAGUAGUGCAGGCAACAAUGACAAGAGUAACAAUCCAGAGCCUAAACUUAGUACAAAUCAAACAUAUGGAGGAUCAAUCAUUUGCCAAAUGUGUGAAAAACUAGUACAUGGAGCUCACAUAUGUUAUCAGAAAAAUCCACAACAAUGUAAAGGUUCUAACACUACUGUUAAAUGUCUUAUUUGCAAGAAACAAGCCCAUGCUAGAAAAGGGUGCAAGUACAUGUUUGAUGAUAAAAGACUUUUUAGCCAAAUUGCUAAUUUGCUACCCUACCUUUCAUUUUAGUAUCAAUUUGCUAUCCUAGGUUUCAUUUCAGUCAAUUUGUUACCCUAGCUUCAAUUAGCCAAUUUGUUACCCUAACUAUUAUUUAUGCCAAUUUGCUAUCUUAUAUUUUCAAAAUUAGCCAAUUUGCUACAUUUUUGUCAUUUAAUUUGUUCAUUUCUUCAUUCAAAUAUGAAUUAAUUCUGAAAAUCGAAGGCUAAAGUUGGUUGAUAUUGAAAUUUUGAUAAGUAAAUUGGUUAAUUUUGAAAGCCUAAAAUAACAAAUUUGAUGGAAGAGUAGCAAAUUGGCUGAAAUAAAAGCUUGAGUAUAACGAAUUAGCUAAUUUAGAAAAGCUAGAGUGGCAAAUUGGCACUAAAGUGAAAAUUAGGAUAGCAAAUUAACAAUUAUGCCAUGAUAAAAAUGAGAGCACUAUUAAUGGAUGUAUACACUAAUAAUGCAUCUGUUCAAAUUGGUAAAAGCUUGUCAAAUAAAACUGUUGAAGAACACUCUCACUCUAUAGUUGAUAAAGCCACAGUCCUUCCAGCCUUACCUAUGUCCACUCCUUCACCAUGUUUUAAGAGCACAAAACAGUACAAACACUAAUGCAGCAACCUAGUGGUUGGUGAACCUAGCACUAGUUUGAGGGGGUUGUUAACUGAAUGAUGUAGAAUGCAAGGAAUAAUUGGCACGUGUUCUUCACUCAUAUGUGUGUUUUGGAGGACUAGUCUGUUGCAAUCUCAGUGUCUCAUAACAACCUUCUUUGAGGUGAUAUCGUGACCAAGAGGGAACGAUCUUAGCCAUACACGUGUCCAACCUUUCUCUAUUACAGAAGAUAUUUUUGAUGCAACCUCUCUUGCAUAUCCUUUAUAUAUUUUUGUGUACUACAACUUUGUCUGAGAAUCAUCAUCAUCUGUAUAAUUACUUUUUCUAUUAAUACAAGUUGUGCUUUUCUUCUUCACCUUCAAUUCUCAAUUACUUCUUCACAAAACUCUCUGCUCUUUCUUGUUUUCUAGACUGCAUGUUCCAUUUUUGUGUAAGUUUUGUUUUCUUUUAUCAAGACUCAUUACCACAUCAAAUUUUGUUAUCGUGAUUAUGAAAUUUAGCACUAAUGAACCCAACACCAACUCUAGCUCAAUCCAAAGAGAAGAGGGAUUGGGCUUGAAGUAAUUAAUAUUUGCCCAACCCACACUCACAACCCUCAGCUUGACACCGGUCUAUGAAACCUAGCAAAGCUGCUAAAGUUGUGAUCACCAUCAAAUUCGUCCACCAGUCAUCUAUACCGGGUGUCCAUGACAAUCAACAUAAAACCACAAGCGAGAUCAAUAACCCACCAUCUCUUGCAAGCCGGACUCGCGCCAUUGACCGACUCAUUGCGGCAAGACGCACGCCUUCACUUGUUUACCACUGAUGCUCGUCAUUCAUAGCCACCAUCAUCGCCACAGACCAACAAUCCAACACCAAAAAGCAAACACCUAAAGCUGGAUACCACAAAGCCGAACCAAACUUAGAUCAUUAAUGAAGUUGCCAAGAAGUACGAGAAGUCGACGCAACCGAGAAGCAAAUCCUGCCGCUUGCAGGAAACCUUAAUUUCAUUUGCUACUGCGCGUGAGGGGCAUUUUAAAGUCAGUACUCUAAAGAAAGAAUGAUAGUUUAGAAGAAUAUUAAAUCAUGUCCGGUAACGUUUUAAUAAAUAAUUUUUCAACAACAAAUUCUUAAAAUGAAAACGAGAAAAUAAAGUUGUAUCUUUUAGAUCUGAAAAUGUGUUUGGUAGAUUAGUUAGAAAACAAUUUUGAAACCGAAAAUGACAAAACGCGUACGAUAGUACCACAUUAAAAUGCAAAGAACACUGCAAAUGUAUUCAGGUACAAUAUUUUCAAAGUCUCAAUUUUCAAUAUUUUAGUGUACCUAAAAACCACACCUUAGCAAAACGAUGCUAACGAGUAUGAAUCGACUAAAACGACACAUACUUUGUCUUUAUUUUGGAAAAUAAUUUUCAUGUGUUUAAAAAUAUGAAAAUGUGCCCAUUUUACAUGUAAAAUAGAAAAUCAAAUUUUAAGUUUUAUUUUGAUCACUUUUAAAAACAAACUAACGAACACAUUUUGAAACUAUUUUCAUCUUGAAAUACGAAAAUAUAAAAGCGUUACCGAACGCCAACUUACAAACUUGAAAAGGAAACAACAACAAAUAUUUUAUGUAAAAAAGAACAAAAAAACUCAACCAGAGAAUUUGGAAAAAAAGGAAAAAGAAAAAAUAACCUUCUGGAAUUUUCUAAUAAACGAAAAAACAUAAUUGUUGAUAAUAUAAAUAGGCCAAAACCCUUUCUUUUAUGCUCUCUCUGUCCUCCACUCUACUCCUCCCUAAACCAACCGCUCUCGCGCCUCUUGAAGAUCCAGCAAAACCCUAGACACCACCGCCGGAUCUCUACAGGAGGUGAGAGAAGUCACUUUCAACCACCAAUCUUCUCCUCUUCUCUCACCUCUCUACCCUCCGAUCCACCCACCCACUCAGGUCGUCCUCUCUCUCUCUCUCUCUCUCUCUCUCUCUCUCUCUCUCUCACACACACACACACACACACAUUACCCCUUCAUGCGCUUCUCAAUUUUUUCAAAUUUGUUGUUGCAAUUUCUGGUUCCUC